GUCGAACGGCAGCACAGUAAGAGCUUGCUCUUAUGGGUGGCGAGUGGCGGACGGGUGAGGAAUACAUCGGAAUCUACCUUUUCGUGGGGGAUAACGUAGGGAAACUUACGCUAAUACCGCAUACGACCUUCGGGUGAAAGCAGGGGACCUUCGGGCCUUGCGCGGAUAGAUGAGCCGAUGUCGGAUUAGCUAGUUGGCGGGGUAAAGGCCCACCAAGGCGACGAUCCGUAGCUGGUCUGAGAGGAUGAUCAGCCACACUGGAACUGAGACACGGUCCAGACUCCUACGGGAGGCAGCAGUGGGGAAUAUUGGACAAUGGGCGCAAGCCUGAUCCAGCCAUACCGCGUGGGUGAAGAAGGCCUUCGGGUUGUAAAGCCCUUUUGUUGGGAAAGAGAAGCAGUCGGCUAAUACCCGGUUGUUCUGACGGUACCCAAAGAAUAAGCACCGGCUAACUUCGUGCCAGCAGCCGCGGGUAUACGA
rnacentral:rRNA from 1 species